rnacentral:rRNA from 1 species
GAUGAACGCUAGCGGCAGGCUUAACACAUGCAAGUCGAGGGGCAGCGCGGGAUAGCAAUAUCCUGGCGGCGACCGGCGGACGGGUGCGUAACGCGUGAGCGACAUGCCCGUUGCCCGGGGACAACCGGUGGAAACGCCGACUAAUCCCCGAUGGGAUAUUGUGCCGCAUGGCACGAUAUUGAAAGUUACGGCGGCGACGGAUUGGCUCGCGUCCGAUUAGCUGGUUGGCGGGGUAACGGCCCACCAAGGCUGCGAUCGGUAGGGGUUCUGAGAGGAAGGCCCCCCACGAUGGGACUGAGACACGGCCCAUACUCCUACGGGAGGCAGCAGUGAGGAAUAUUGGUCAAUGGGCGGAAGCCUGAACCAGCCAUGCCGCGUGCGGGAAGGAGGCCCUAUGGGCUGUGAACCGCUUUUGCCUGGGGGCAAUAAGGGCGUCGCGCACGUCCGAUGAGAGUACCAGGCGAAUAAGCAUCGGCUAACUCCGUG